UGUUAGUGGAAGCGUCUGGAAAGGCGCGCGAUACAGGGUGACAGCCCCGUACACAAAAAUGCACAUAUUGUGAGCUCGAUGAGUAGGGCGGGACACGUGGUAUCCUGUCUGAAUAUGGGGGGACCAUCCUCCAAGGCUAAAUACUCCUGACUGACCGAUAGUGAACCAGUACCGUGAGGGAAAGGCGAAAAGAACCCCGGCGAGGGGAGUGAAAAAGAACCUGAAACCGUGUACGUACAAGCAGUGGGAGCCUCUUAAUGGGGUGACUGCGUACCUUUUGUAUAAUGGGUCAGCGACUUAUAUUCUGUAGCAAGGUUAACCGAAUAGGGGAGCCGAAGGGAAACCGAGUCUUAACUGGGCGUUAAGUUGCAGGGUAUAGACCCGAAACCCGGUGAUCUAGCCAUGGGCAGGUUGAAGGUUGGGUAACACUAACUGGAGGACCGAACCGACUAAUGUUGAAAAAUUAGCGGAUGACUUGUGGCUGGGGGUGAAAGGCCAAUCAAACCGGGAGAUAGCUGGUUCUCCCCGAAAGCUAUUUAGGUAGCGCCUCGUGAAUUCAUCUCCGGGGGUAGAGCACUGUUUCGGCAAGGGGGUCAUCCCGACUUACCAACCCGAUGCAAACUGCGAAUACCGGAGAAUGUUAUCACGGGAGACACACGGCGGGUGCUAACGUCCGUCGUGAAGAGGGAAACAACCCAGACCGCCAGCUAAGGUCCCAAAGUCAUGGUUAAGUGGGAAACGAUGUGGGAAGGCCCAGACAGCCAGGAUGUUGGCUUAGAAGCAGCCAUCAUUUAAAGAAAGCGUAAUAGCUCACUGGUCGAGUCGGCCUGCGCGGAAGAUGUAACGGGGCUAAACCAUGCACCGAAGCUGCGGCAGCGACACUAUGUGUUGUUGGGUA
rnacentral:rRNA from 1 species